AGGGAAAUAAAACGCCAGUGAUUUUAUACCGUAUUUUGAGGAAAAGGUCUGAUACUUCAGAAAACAGCACAAUCCUAGAAAUUCGUAAGUUUCUGGUCAACAUCAGAUCCAGGAACAUUACGUUGAAUGGUUGGGACUUUUUCUACGUUUCCAAAGCCAUAUUUUACGGAGUGGUUUCACAGAUUGUUUCUUAUAUAAUUUUGCUAAUUCAGUUCAAAAUAUUUCAGUAGUUGUAGAUUUACAAGAAAACUAAACUAGUGACGAUUUAUGUACC